rnacentral:snoRNA from 1 species
AUUCGGGUUGAUAACUAGGCAAUGGUCUCAAUACAAACCCCCCACGACUUUUGCCCUUUAAGUGCCCGAGAUAUCAAUCUCUUUCGCAAGGAUCUUACACGUUCUCUGAUACUACCUGACGAACAACGUUUAAUCUAUUGCGACAUAC